GACUCAGUGGGUCGCUCAUCAUGUUGGAGGACACGACAUGAAGAAAUGGGUUCUCCUCCAGCUCAAACAAUUCAGAAGGCACACACUCGGUUAAGACACAGUGAGAACAAGCCAUUCUUGCCGUCUUAAGGGAUUCAUAUAUUCCAGGGGAAUACCAAGGUGGGUCAAUUUGGGCGGAGAGAUUGGAUGACUCCCGGUGAGUGUUUCUUUUGGAUAGUGAAUCUGUUGCGUAAGUCUGGACUAACCGGUAUGAUUGGACUCCUUAGGUUGUUUUCUGAUAGUGAAUUUUGGCUUCCUAUCAGGCGUUAACCUGUAUGGAUGUCAGACUGCCUGUGACCACAGAACAGAACAGGACUCAUUCAAGGCGGUGCCUGAGCAGGUGAAGGAGCUUCCUGGGCAAACCUGGAGCCUCAGUCUC
rnacentral:lncRNA from 1 species